CCUGAAAAACAUGAAGUUUAAUAGGAGUGUUAUCACAGAAUCUAGAGUUAACAGAAGGCAAUUCAGAUAUCUUUUUUUUAAAAAACUAACAAACUUGUCAUAUAUUCUUUAUAAGAAUUAACUCCUUAAUGCAGCAAAAUAAAUAUACACAGAGAUGAUCUUGGGUUUUCUAAAAGUCACAGGAUUUGAAAAUAAUUAUUCUAGAAUUGUAGUCACAUUCUGUAUAAGCCUUUUGCUCUAUAAAACUCUUUUGAUCUGUCAAACUCUGGACCUUUUCAAUAAGAAAAUUAUUUUUAUGUAAUAUGCUAUACUUAGAAAAGGUUUUUUACUGAGCCUUAAAGAAGUGUAGCUUGCAUUUUGAAGUCCCACAUGACAUUGCUGCAAAAGAUUAUAGCAACUGCCCUCUACAGGAAAUUCAAACCCACAUGACUAAUGCUUUCCUUAAUUCUUAGGGUAACAGAACAGCACCCACAAGAAUGAACAAACCAGGACCAGCAAACCCCUUCCAUAGGACACACGGAGUGUCCCAAAAAUACUGGUCAGCUGGGAUUCAAGAAUCAUGCUUUGGCACUCUUGACUCAGCAAAAACCUCCUGGAUUCUAAAGGCAAAUGAGAAGGUUAUCCUGACAGAAGUGGGAAAGGAAAUAAAGAACUAUGAACCACCAUUCUUUACACAGGAUCUGGCCUAACCUCCAAGGAAUAAUCUUCAAAAGAACUUGUUUCUAAAUGUUGGGGUAAGAUUACACCUUAGUGUUUAAAUGCUAUUAUAUCAUAAAAUCAAGCUCUUCAACUUACACAACCUGAAAUAAAACUGUUUGUCCUUAUACAUAAUAAUAACAACAUAUUUUUCUAAUUCUGUGGUCCCAUAGGACAACAGUCUUGUGGUUGCUACUGACUUCUAUCACAUCCAGUAUAUAGUAUGAAGUAAUAAAUUUAUUUUUAUGCAGCA